AGAGUUUGAUCCUGGCUCAGGACGAACGCUGGCGGCGUGCCUAAUACAUGCAAGUCGAGCGGACCUUUCGGGGUCAGCGGCGGACGGGUGAGUAACACGUGGGCAAUCUGCCCGAUACUCUGGGAUAACGCUUGGAAACGAGUGCUAAUACCGGAUGGUCUUCUUGGCCGCAUGGCCGAGAAGGAAAAGACGCGUUCGCGUCGGUGUCGGAUGAGCCCGCGGCGCAUUAGCUAGUUGGUGAGGUAACGGCCCACCAAGGCGACGAUGCGUAGCCGACCUGGGAGGGUGACCGGCCACACUGGGACUGAGACACGGCCCAGACUCCUACGGGAGGCAGCAGUAGGGAAUCUUCCACAAUGGGCGAAAGCCUGAUGGAGCAACGCCGCGUGAGUGAUGAAGGCCUUCGGGUUGUAAAACUCUGUCAUUCGGGACGAACCGGAGUCUGAGGAAAUGCAGACUCUCUGACGGUACCGGAGGAGGAAGCCCCGGCUAACUACGUGCCAGCAGCCGCGGUAAUACGUAGGGGGCAAGCGUUGUCCGGAUUCACUGGGCGUAAAGCGCGCGCAGGCGGUGAUGUAAGUCUGAGGUGAAAACCCGAAGCUCAACUUCGGGACUGCCUUGGAUACUGCGUCACUUGAGGAUAGGAGAGGCAGGGGGAAUUCCACGUGUAGCGGUGAAAUGCGUAGAGAUGUGGAGGAACACCGUGGCGAAGGCGCCUUGCUGGCCUAUUUCUGACGCUGAGGCGCGAAAGCGUGGGGAGCAAACAGGAUUAGAUACCCUGGUAGUCCACGCUGUAAACGAUGAGUGCUAGGUGUAGGUGGGCUCAUACCCAUCUGUGCCGAAGCUAACGCAUUAAGCACUCCGCCUGGGGAGUACGGUCGCAAGACUGAAACUCAAAGGAAUUGACGGGGGCCCGCACAAGCAGUGGAGCAUGUGGUUUAAUUCGAAGCAACGCGAAGAACCUUACCAGGACUUGACAUCCCAUAGACCAGUCUAGAGAUAGACUUUCCCUUCGGGGCUGUGGUGACAGGUGGUGCAUGGUUGUCGUCAGCUCGUGUCGUGAGAUGUUGGGUUAAGUCCCGCAACGAGCGCAACCCUUACUUUGUGUUGCCAGCAUUCAGUUGGGCACUCACAAGGGACUGCCGCCGAUAAGGCGGAGGAAGGUGGGGAUGACGUCAAAUCAUCAUGCCCCUUAUGUCCUGGGCUACACACGUGCUACAAUGGGCGGUACAACGGGAUGCGAAGCCGCGAGGUGGAGCCAAACCCUGAAAACCGUUCGUAGUUCGGAUUGUAGGCUGCAACUCGCCUACGUGAAGCCGGAAUUGCUAGUAAUCGCGGAUCAGCAUGCCGCGGUGAAUCCGUUCCCGGGCCUUGUACACACCGCCCGU
rnacentral:rRNA from 1 species